GUGACAACUAUUUUAUAUCAAAUGUAUAUUUUAUUGAAAGAAUUGUUUUAAAAUGUUUGAAUGAAUUAAUAUAAAGCUAAUUUCACCACUGUAGUUGUGUGAUAAGAUGUGCUAUUGUUUUUUAAACUUAAGCAAACUCCUUUGCUUUAUGAUACCACUGGUAGCCGCAGUUAUUCUUGGGACUUUCAUAUAUAAUUAUUUUAAAACGGAACAUGUUCCCCAGCUUCCUUGAGGUUCUAAGGCAUCAUCAACAAACUUGACGAAGAACAAUAAAGAUG